rnacentral:rRNA from 1 species
UAAUAUGGUGUCUGCGCUGCAAGUGCGAAGAGUUGGAUGAAGAGACAAAUGUUUCAUCAAGUGAGUUGUAACAUCCUCAAUACAUGAGCCACC